UCUUUGAAAAUGCCAGGGUCUCUCAAAACUCCUGGAAAUAACAGAAGCAUCUUGUAAACAGUCUGUGCUUACAGCUACAUUGGGGGAAAAAAUAGGCUAAAGAUUUGUAUCCAGCUCAAGAUUCCUAGGAGGAAAACCUUUAUUUUUGGAAGAACUAUGUAUACAAAACCACAUUUACUGUACAGUCAGAAAAAUUACCAACAUGUCUCAAACUUAGAAGUAUAAGAAUAAUUGAACCACUCAAACACUUCAAAUUGAAACUAAUCCUCUAUAUCGUAAUUUAUUUUAAAAUGCAUUUCAAAGUAACAUUUAAAAACCAACUACUGCUGUUGGCAGCCAUGUUACUAAAAGCAAAUGGCAUGAUACCAAUAGUGAUCUCUUUAGCAAGAAGGCUACCAGGAGUAGGAAAAGUAAUUGCCAACUGUAAUUAUACUUGGUCACAAUAAUUUUGAGAAAAGUGAUUCUUUAAAUUGCUAGAGCCAAAACAGGUAGUCUUAAAAUGAAUACACAGGGAGAAGAAAUGCUUAAACUUAAGAGGUACUUUUCCAACCAGAAAACAAGGCUAUGUAACAAUCCAAAUCCAGGAUAGUUAAGAAGUGGUUUCCAGAGACACUACAGGAAAGUCAACAUCAAGCUUCUGCCAGUAGAAAUUAAGUGUCUGCUUUAAACAAGUUCAAUCACUUUGAGUACUUCCUGAAUUACUAGUAUUCUUUAAGGACCAGCAAACUACACAAGAUAACAAGAGUAGAACUUCCAAGGAACCCAGUCUUCCUCUAUUUAUAUUUCUGUGACAGUCCUGGUUUCUUGGUGCUUCCCUCUGAGGAACAGAAGGCAUUAUCCAACACAAUCCUUGGCUCCUAUGAGAUUCUUAUCAAGACAUUUGUUGCCUCAGUGGAAUUGCUUAACCUCAUUCUUAUAGCAAGGUUCUUCCUCCCAUGCCACAGGCUGAAACUCCCAGGACAGCGAGAUAAAAAUGGCAGGCGCAGCAAGUGUAUCAGCACAUGCUAUCGCCAUUUGAACCUACCCUCAAUGAGUUGUCAGCAUAUGUAGGGGAAGAAGUGCUUAUGGUGAGGAAGAAAAGCUGGGUGAAUGACCAAUAUAACCUUGUGCAAUUUGAUGGGCGAGUGAAUACAAGGCACUAGGUAAGGGACAAAAGUUACAUUUGGGUAUUGGAAUGUAUUUGAGAAAUAGAUGAAAACCAAAAAUGUAAUGAGAGGUGGGAGAAGGGCUACUAAAUACGAGACGAAAGUAAACCAAACUGAGUGGACAAGGGUCACACAACAGGCUAGUUCUGACAUAAGUUUUAAGUUAAUAGGAAAUAUAAACACAUAUUGUGUAGCAUCCUCUCUCCCAUUUCUUUGUACACUGUCCUGUUAAACAGACUUCUUCAGCCCAAAAACUCAUCUUGUCUGUAGCAAGCUAAGCACAUGUCUGGGUCCUGUAUCCGUAAUACAGGAGAUGACAAAGAACCAGAAAAAGUUUCUGAACUUUGAAGCCAUCAGCUAUUUCCAAGCCAAAGAAGGAAGCUGCCACUCAGCAGUGGAGAUUCAGCCUGCUCAGAAUUCUGAUGAGUAUUGGCUCUGACCAACUCCAGGCAGACUUCACAGGCAGAGAUUAAUUUCUCUGAUACAUUGUAAGGGGAAAAGCAGGUACGAAUCAUUUUAGGAUUAUAUACUGAAAAAAGUGUUUGUCUCCUUCUCCCUGCAACAACUAUUAAAGCAAGUUAAAUAGGUUAAAGGCUACAGCGGUGGCAUAUAUGUAGUUUUCCAUCCAAUGCUUUAAAGCAACAUAUGUGGUGACAAGCCCUUUCACCAGUUAUCAGAUUUGAUUUACUUUAUACCUUUUGCACACUUCUUGCUGUGCAUAACCUCUCCUGGUGUCCCUGUCAAAGUUAUUGUGCCACACCAUGCCAAUGUACCAUGGUUAAAUAUCAAUGAUUGCAACUUCAACCUCACCCAAUUUUAAUUUCAUUCUUGAAACAACCUAAUUUUCAGUUGAAAAACUCUACGCUUGGUUUCAGCUAAAAGGAACUUUGUGAGGAAUUCAAAAUUGGCUCAGCAACUUGAGUGAGGCAUGUCUUACAUAGGGCAAAGUAGUAUCAUCAUAACCCAAAUGCAUGAACUUAAAUGCCAGACUCUACAUGUGACCUGAGCUCUAUCAGGUUAGUUCACUAAAGUUUGAUUUUUUUUUUUUAAGUUAGGUAAGCAGUUAAAUUUGGAUUUACACAUGCAUCUUAUAUAGUUUCUUUUAACUUCAAGUUUCAUUGAGCAUGAAACAAUACUGAGCUCCUUUGAGAAGAGCAGACUCGUAAGUCAAGGUUCAUGCAGAUAGA